UAGCAAUGUUACCUUGGAAACAAGAAACUAUGUUAAUUAAGAAGGAUAUCACUUGUCCAGGUGUUUCUUGUAAACAACAUAUUCUUGGAUCCUGGUUUCUAAGGCAGUCUGUUAUCCUCUUCCAUUCAUUUUAUGGGUUGUCUGAGAGAACACUGUUUCCUUGUGCAGUCACCUACUGAAAACUGGAUUUAUCGCUGGCUGCAGGCAUGAUAGACCCCUAUCAGUUUUAACAUGAAAAUGUAUCUUUUGGAACUCCUUUCAAAGCAAAAAGAAGGAAGAAGAAGAAGAAGAAGAAGAAGAAGAAGAAGAAGAAGAAGAAGAAGAAAGAAAAAGAAAAGCAAAAAAAAGAGAAAGGUAUUGGGUUACUUCAUUAUUGAGCCUUGUUUGACAAAAUCAGAAUCAUUUAGCUUAAUUACACACUUUAUGCAUCAGAAUUUAGUGUAAAUGAUCUUUGGUUUGUUCCAUGAUAUUAUGGUUUCCCUUGGUUGAGAAUAUUUAAACUUUCAUAGUAAUCACAUAGGAGAAAUUCCAAAAAUAUUUUGAGCAAUGAAGAACAUGUUUUUGGAUAAGCAUAUAGUUUCCCAAUGCCAGUAUUCUGAUCGUACUGAUACUGUUCUUUUGUAUGUAUAAGUUCUGACAUGUCUGUUUAAAAUAAAAUCAUUUUUAUUUAUAGUCCAGCCUGGGAAAUUGGGCAAAGGUUUAGUGCUGUACCCACUCACCUGAUAUUAUGCUUAAAGCUGGAAUCAUUGGAACUAGAGGCAUUGCAGUGACUUGGAGCUUCAGACAAUAGACUGAAUAACAAAAAGACAAUAGUCUUGGAUACCAUUACAGAAACAAAGUUCACAACAUUUUGUUUUUUAGUUUUACUCAAUCCCUUGACACCUGGAGAUGUCAUUACUGAGUUCAUUAGAGCUCAUCACUAUACAUUAUAGAGGGCUGGAUAUACAGUCAGGAAGACCUGAGUUUGAAUCCUACUUCUCAUACUUAUUAGCUGCAUUCCUGGGCAACUCACUUAACUUGUUCUAUGCCUGAGUUUAUCUAACUAUAAAAUGAGGGAGUUGGACUCUAUUCUCUUAGGUCCCAUAUAGCUUUAAAUAUAUGGUCCUAGGAUAUGAAAGGUAGAGGUCCCGACCUGGUAACUAUGGCUAGAAAAUUUGCACCACCUGUUUUCCUAAUCCCAGUGAUUUAGAAUUGAUUUAUCCUAAGGCAAAAUUCUCCUUCUUUUGUUAUCAUACUAUCAGAAUCAGAGUCCCCAUUCCCCAUCCCAAUUACUUCCUUCUCUGUCUUUAUUUUCCAUUGCGAUCUCUGGAACUCCUAAUCAAUAUUUAAUAAAUAUCCUUUUGUUCUUCA